rnacentral:rRNA from 1 species
AUGGUAUCUCUCAAAUUGAGCAACGCCAAAUUGGGGAUGAUUUCUAAGGUACAAACAUUGGAUCCGGACAUGUCACAUGGGCUCUUUAUUGUGUUUCUAAGGACACUGAUGGGUUGGGUUUGCAUGCAACGCAGUAAGGACCAACAAAAUGGUCUCAUUGCAAGGUCACUCCCUGGACGUAUAGGCAAGCAAUGUCAAGAGAGGUGGCAUAAUCAUCUGAAUCCAGAAUACAGAGAGAUGCUUGGACUACUGAGGAACAUGCACAAAUUAAUGCCCAUCGGGUAUAUGGGAAUAAAUGGGCAGAAAUAG